UACGUUCGUUGGGUAGGGGAGCGUUCUGUAAGCCUGUGAAGGUGUGUCGUGAGGCAUGCUGGAGGUAUCAGAAGUGCGAAUGCUGACAUAAGUAACGAUAAAGCGGGUGAAAAGCCCGCUCGCCGGAAGACCAAGGGUUCCUGUCCAACGUUAAUCGGGGCAGGGUGAGUCGACCCCUAAGGCGAGGCCGAAAGGCGUAGUCGAUGGGAAACGGGUUAAUAUUCCCGUACUUGGUGUUACUGCGAAGGGGGGACGGAGAAGGCUAUGUUGGCCGGGCGACGGUUGUCCCGGUUUAAGCGUGUAGGUGUGUGUUCCAGGUAAAUCCGGUUCACUUUAACACUGAGGCGUGACGACGAGGCACUACGGUGCUGAAGCAACAAAUGCCCUGCUUCCAGGAAAAGCCUCUAAGCAUCAGGUAACACGAAAUCGUACCCCAAACCGACACAGGUGGUCAGGUAGAGAAUACCAAGGCGCUUGAGAGAACUCGGGUGAAGGAACUAGGCAAAAUGGUGCCGUAACUUCGGGAGAAGGCACGCUGACACGUAGGUGAAGUGAUUUACUCAUGGAGCUGAAGUCAGUCGAAGAUACCAGCUGGCUGCAACUGUUUAUUAAAAACACAGCACUGUGCAAACACGAAAGUGGACGUAUACGGUGUGACGCCUGCCCGGUGCCGGAAGGUUAAUUGAUGGGGUCAGCG
rnacentral:rRNA from 1 species